UCUUAUGAAUGAGCAAAGAAAUUUGUUUCUUAAGAUGGAAUCUGCUGUUGAGACUGCUAAGAA
rnacentral:pre_miRNA from 1 species